UAAAAAUUCCAGUCUUAUGUUGUCUAGCUUCAUGAUUUGAAUUGUAAUCAACAAGCUCGCGUGCAAAUAUGCUUGCCAACUGAGAUACGCUUGGGUCAACAUAAGUCAUAUGGGUCCAAAGAAAUUGAUUAAAAUGGGUUUAAUUGAUGCGGCAGGAAAUCAUAGCAUCAACAGCCAUGGAAAAUGAUUGUGUGAGAAUAUUUUUACAAAAUUGAAUGCAGCUAGCGAUCCCUUUUCCAGCAAACGACAACGAAAAUUCCCAUACAGGUUGGUAGAAGAAAGCAGUUAAAAAGUUCUCAUCUCAACUUCGAUCUGGGAUGGAGAAGGCGAAUCGUACUCGAUUUGCUCCAUUAUCUUUCCUACUGUUGAAGGCUUUGGAUUCCCGGGGAGGGGUGGGGUGGCGUCGAGUUUGUCUUGUGUGGCCAGUUGGUGGCUAUGAGCUUUAUUCAGGUGGGCGCCUAAUAACUCCUCGGCUUUUAAUACUCAGCUCGAAAACCGUGGGCAGAAUCUGAAUGAGGCUCUUGCAGCACCAGCCUUUGCUAUUCAACAAUCUACGCACCGCAUGUCUGCCACCAGUAGCCUCCAUUCACCUCACUGACACUGUGCAUCAAAUGGUCAACUUUUUUAUUUUUAAUUUCAAAUUUAUUAUUAAAUAAUAAUCCCAUGAAUUAUUCUUAAUUAACUUAAA